GUAUAUAGCCUUGGCCGACAGGCCCUGGUAAUCUUGGGAAAUUUCAUCAUGAUGGGGAUAGAUAAUUGCAAUUGUUGGUCUUCAACGAGGAAUGCCUAGUAAGCGUGAGACAUCAGCUCGCGUUGACUACGUCCCUGCCCUUUGUACACACCGCCCGUCGCUCCUACCGAUUGAAUGGUCCGGUGAAGUGUUUCGGAUCGCGGUGACAUUGGCGGUUCGCCACCCCCGACGUCGCGAGAAGUCCAUUGAACCUUGUCGUUUAGAGGAAAGAGAAGUCGUAACAAGGUUUCCGUACGUGAACCUGCGGAAGGAUCAUUGUCGUGACCCUUAAACAAAACAUACUGUAUACGUCAAAGAGAGCUUGAAAUUGCCGGGAGGGAAGCGGAUGGGGGCGGCGAUGCGCCCCGGUCGUAUGCGGAACGGCUUCUGCUGGUCCGCUCGGGGCGUGGACUGUUGUCGGCUGCGCCGGCGGCCUAAGCCUAGGGCCUUAGGUGCCUCCGGAAGCCGUCGUCGGCAUAGCCGGUUCUCGCACGCCUAAAGGCAUGUCCCUCGGGAUGCUGCGUUGCAACGGCCUGCGAGCUCCCCAUCCGACCAAUCUUGAAACACGGACCAAGGAGUCUGACAUGCGUGCGAGUCGACGGGUUCUUAAACAUGGGGUGCGCAAGGAAGCUUAUAAGCAGGAGGCCCUCACUGGCCGCACCGCUGGCCGGCCCUGAUCUUCUGUGAAGGGUUCGAGUUGGAGCACGCCUGUCGGGACCUGAAAGAUGGUGAACUAUGCCUGAGCGGGGUGAAGCCAGAGGAAACUCUGGUGGAGGCUUGAAGCGAUACUGACGUGCAAAUCGUUCGUCUGACUUGGGUAUAGGGGUGAAAGACUAAUCGAACCAUCUAGUAGCUGGUUCCCUCUGAAGUUUCCCUCAGGAUAGCUGGAGCCCAUUACGAGUUCUAUCGGGUAAAGCCAAUGAUUAGAGGCAUCGGGGGAGCAACGCUGUCGACCUAUUCUCAAACUUUAAAUAGGUAGGACGGCACGGCUGCUCCGGUGAGCCGUGCCAUGGAAUCGGGAGCUCCAAGUGGCCAUUUUUGGUAAGCAGAACUGGCUAUGGGGGAUGAACCGGAAGCUGGGUUACGGUGUCGUACUGCGCGCUAACCUAGAACCCACAAAGGGUGUUGGUUGAUUAAGACAGCAGGACGGUGGUCAUGGAAGUCGAAAUCCGCUAAGGAGUGUGUAACAACUCACCUGCCGAAUCAACUAGCCCCGAAAAUGGAUGGCGCUAAAGCGCGCGACCCACACCUGGCCAUCUGGGCGAGCGCCAUGCCCUGAUGAGUAGGAGGGCACGGCGGCCACUGCAAAACCUGGGGUGCGAGCCUGGGUGGAGCGACCGUCGAUGCAGAUCUUGGUGUUAGUAUUAAAUAUUCAAAUGAGAACUUUGAAGGCCGAAGAGGAGAAAGGUUCCAUGUGAACGGCACUUGCACAUGGGUAAGCCGAUCCUAAGGGACGGGGUAACCCCGGCAGACAGCGCGAUCACGCACGUUGCCCGAAAGGGAAUCAGGUUAAGAUUUCCCGAGCCGAGAUGUGGCGGUUGACGGCGACGGUUUGAAGUCCGGAGACGCCGGCGGGGGCCUCAGGAAGAGUUAUCUUUUCUGCUUAACGGCCUGCCAACCCUGGAAACGGUUCAGCUGGAGGUAGGGUCCAGCGGUCGGAAGAGCACCGCACAUCAUGCGGUGUCUUAGGGUUAGGGUUUAGGGUUUCCAGUGUGCCCCCGACGGCCCAUGAAAAUCCGGAGGACCGAGUACCGUCCAUGCCCGGUCGUACUCAUAACCGCAUCAGGUCUCCAAGGUGAACAGCCUCUGGCCAAUGGAACAAUGUAGGCAAGGGAAGUCGGCAAAAUGGAUCCGCAACUUCGGAAAAAGGAUUGGCUCUGAGGGUUGGGCUCGAGGGUCCCGGCCCCGAACCCGUCGGCUGCCGGUGGACUGCUCGAGCUGCUCCCGUGGCAAGAGCAGGCCACCGAGUGUCGGCAGAGGGACGGACCAGGAACGGCCCUUUGGGGGGCCUUCCCCGAACGUCGAACAACCGACUUAGAACUGGUACGGACAAGGGAAAUCCGACUGUUUAAUUAAAACAAAGCCCCCGACUGUUUAAUUAAAACAAAGCAUUGUGAUGGUCCCUUCCAUUUUUCUAUUCCUCCUCCAAAAAUUGGACCCUAGAAAUUCUUACCUUUAUCCUCCUGUAUAGUUCUUGUGGUGCCGUUAAUGUGUUCAUGAGAUGUAUGGGCAUGUACAUAUAAUCUGUAUAUCUCAAAAAUUUCAUUUUGGGUAAAUUUGGAUCGAACUAUGUAUUGAAGCUAAUGGCAGAUGUGGCUACAAAUAUAUAUUUACUGUAAAAUAGGGUUUAGGGUUCCCUAAACCCUAAACCCUAAACCCUAAACCCAAGUAUACCAAUUCUAAACCCUAAACCCUGUGUGUCACACGUGCACCCUACUAUAUAAAUAACAAGUAACCUAUAUAAUUUUUCAUUGCAGAUGUUAGAAUUGGUAUUGGUACGGGCCCUAUGUUGCGUGAUGGCAUUAAAUUUGCUGUUGCCGCUCGAGCUGAGGACCUUAAGAAGUUUUGCAGUCCGCCGGAUUCUAAAGGAGCCAAGUAUACAGUGGAGUACUUGUAUGGCUAUAUGAUAGGCGGCUCGAGUCAUUACGAAAUACCGUCUGCAGAUUUGUACGAGUCUGCUCAAUUAGAUUGAAUUUAUAUUGGAUUGUUAUGAUA
rnacentral:rRNA from 1 species